rnacentral:rRNA from 1 species
UACGUAGGGCGCAAGCGUUAUCCGGAAUUAUUGGGCGUAAAGAGCUCGUAGGUGGUUUGUCGCGUUGUUCGUGAAAACUCACAGCUCAACUGUGGGCGUGCGGGCGAUACGGGCAGACUAGAGUACUGCAGGGGAGACUGGAAUUCCUGGUGUAGCGGUGGAAUGCGCAGAUAUCAGGAGGAACACCGGUGGCGAAGGCGGGGUCUCUGGGCAGUAACUGACGCUGGAGGAGCG